AUUGAACGCUGGCGGCAGGCCUAACACAUGCAAGUCGAGCGGAUGAAGGGAGCUUGCUCCUGGAUUCAGCGGCGGACGGGUGAGUAAUGCCUAGGAAUCUGCCUGGUAGUGGGGGAUAACGUCCGGAAACGGGCGCUAAUACCGCAUACGUCCUGAGGGAGAAAGUGGGGGAUCUUCGGACCUCACGCUAUCAGAUGAGCCUAGGUCGGAUUAGCUAGUUGGUGGGGUAAGGCCUACCAAGGCGACGAUCCGUAACUGGUCUGAGAGGAUGAUCAGUCACACUGGAACUGAGACACGGUCCAGACUCCUACGGGAGGCAGCAGUGGGGAAUAUUGGACAAUGGGCGAAAGCCUGAUCCAGCCAUGCCGCGUGUGUGAAGAAGGUCUUCGGAUUGCAAAGCACUUUAAGUUGGGAGGAAGGGCAGUAAGUUAAUACCUUGCUGUUUUGACGUUACCAACAGAAUAAGCACCGGCUAACUUCGUG
rnacentral:rRNA from 1 species